rnacentral:rRNA from 1 species
AUACGGAGGAUGCAAGCGUUAUCCGGAUUUAUUGGGCUUAAAGGGUGCGCAGGCGGGCUGUUAAGUCAGCGGUGAAAUCUUCCGGCUCAACCGGGGAACUGCCGUUGAUACUGGCAGCCUAGAGUACAGACGGCGCCGGCGGAAUGGGUCAUGUAGCGGUGAAAUGUUUAGAUAUGCCACAGAACACCGAUCGCGAAGGCAGCUGGCGAGGCUGGAACUGACGCUCAGGCACGAAAGCGUGGGGAUCAAACAGGAUUAGAUACCCUGGUAGUCCACGCAGUAAACGAUGAAGACUUGUUGUCGGCGAUAGAAUGUCGGUGACAAAGCGAAAGCGAUAAGUCUUCCACCUGGGGAGUACGAUCGCAAGGUUGAAACUCAAAUGAAUUGGCGGGG